GCCGCGUGAGUGAAGAAGGUUUUCGGAUCGUAAAGCUCUGUUGUAAGUCAAGAACGUGUGUGAGAGUGGAAAGUUCACACAGUGACGGUAGCUUACCAGAAAGGGACGGCUAACUACGUGCCAGCAGCCGCGGUAAUACGUAGGUCCCGAGCGUUGUCCGGAUUUAUUGGGCGUAAAGGGAGCGCAGGCGGUCAGGAAAGUCUGGAGUAAAAGGCUAUGGCUCAACCAUAGUGUGCUCUGGAAACUGUCUGACUUGAGUGCAGAAGGGGAGAGUGGAAUUCCAUGUGUAGCGGUGAAAUGCGUAGAUAUAUGGAGGAACACCAGUGGCGAAAGCGGCUCUCUGGUCUGUCACUGACGCUGAGGCUCGAAAGCGUGGGUAGCGAACAGGAUUAGAUACCCUGGUAGUCCACGCCGUAAACGAUGAGUGCUAGGUGUUAGGCCCUUUCCGGGGCUUAGUGCCGGAGCUAACGCAAUAAGCACUCCGCCUGGGGAGUACGACCGCAAGGUUGAAACUCAAAGGAAUUGACGGGGGCCCGCACAAGCGGUGGAGCAUGUGGUUUAAUUCGAAGCAACGCGAAGAACCUUACCAGGUCUUGACAUCCCGAUGCUAUUCUUAGAGAUAGGAAGCUACUUCGGUACAUCGGAGACAGGUGGUGCAUGG
rnacentral:rRNA from 1 species